CCUCUCUAUUUCUUCAUUCCUUUGGUGACAUCACUCAGUCCCCUGACUCAUUCUGAGUCCAUCCACUUCUCUAAGAUCUCCACUUCCACUAGUCCAGUCUAAGCCACCAUCACCUCCUACGUGGACCACUGCACCACUGCAGUAGCGUUCUACCUGCCCUCUCUGCGUCUGCUGCUGCCGCCCUGCAACCCAGUCUCUGAAUCUCAGCCAGACUGAGCAAUGUUCGGUGAGCUGAGGAGAUAACGCUUAAUGGAAAAGAGUAUUUAUUUAUUUCUGGCAAUGUGCCAGGCACCUGAAUGGAUACUCUCACAUAUAUUUUCUCAUUUGGAAGAGCCAAGAGAGAAAUAAGAAAGAGUUCUCUCAUCCAAGGUCAACUAUAGGCAAAAUGAGCUUUCCCUAGCAACCUGCAAAUAUAACCUGCCUUGGAUAAAAAGGCACCAGAAAUUUGUCAAAGGCCAGUGGUUCAUAUGGUAAGUAUGAUGAGUACUCUACAUGAUUCCCUUGGUUUCCAUUUCUAGUUAGACAGCAUCUAGAUGGCUUUCUUCAAUUUAUCGUACAGGACAAACACAGGGGCUCCAUGCAGCCCCUAAGAAU